rnacentral:ncRNA from 1 species
AUUAACACAAUGAAGAGACGAGUAAACUUUGGUACAUUUUCAGAGAGAAGGUACAGUAGCUGUAAGUACUUUUAAAUGGAAUUAGUUGAAGACUACCUCUGAGUGACUCUAAUCCAGUCCGUCAUAAUCACGUUACGAUUAAUUUUAAGUGGUACUUUAUUUUUAAUUAUUAAAGUACAAUUUGGGUGGAACCACGGGAAUAUACACUCUCGUCCCUUUU